rnacentral:sRNA from 1 species
GCCGCGCCCGACAGAUCGGGAUACUCAUCAAAUAACAAUGAAAACCGGGACGUUUUCUCUUGCCAAUGGCGGGCCACUAACCAAGCGGGGACAGCUUGCUGUCUGUUGCCGGUGGAUUACAACGGCGGGAAACUCCCACAACCUGUGAUAAAGGAGUUUUCAUCACAUCGCGGGUGCGGCUCUUUU